AAAAUUUUAAUAGUCGAACAGACUAAAUUUUAUUAUUAUCUACAAUAAUAAUUUAUUUUAAUUCAACAUCGAGGUCGCAAAAAUUUUUAUCAAUAUGAACUCUUUAAAAAUUUAACG
rnacentral:rRNA from 1 species